rnacentral:SRP_RNA from 1 species
CCGUGCUAAGUGGGGAGGUAGCGGUGCCCUGUACCCACAAUCCGCUAUAGUGGGACCGAAUCCCUUCUCGAGGUCGUUCGUCGUAUGGUCUGCCGCAAGUAAGUGGUGUUGACAUCUGGGUCCUGCGCAACAGAAACCCGUAAAUCCUGUCAGGUCCGGAAGGAAGCAGCAGUAAGCGGACCCUUUUGUGUGCCGCGGGGUUGCCUGGAUCGAGCAAACUGCUUGCGUAACGCACGGGACGAAUUGAUCGACAGAAGGUGCACGG